rnacentral:rRNA from 1 species
UACGUAGGGUGCAAGCGUUGUCCGGAAUUAUUGGGCGCAAAGAGCUCGUAGGCGGCCUGUCGCGUCGGCUGUGAAAACCCGGGGCUCAACCCCGGGCCUGCAGUCGAUACGGGCAGGCUAGAGUCCGGCAGGGGAGACUGGAAUUCCUGGUGUAGCGGUGAAAUGCGUAGAUAUACGGAGGAACACCAGCGGCGAAGGCGGGUAGCUGGGCCAACACUGACGCUGAUGUGCGAAAGCUAGGGGAGCAAACGGG